UCCUCAUCUCCUUCAACUCUAACAUUUUCAAACCCUAAACUUAUGAACUUCAAGAACUGAAACAACAAUUGCUUUCUUUCUCAAACCAUUCGAAAUCCCUCUUCCUCUCAAUCCUGUUCUUCUUUGUCUUCAAUCUUCGAAGGAAAACACAAACCUGACCCUUCUUCUUGGUAUUCGAUUUUCGAAGCACAAUUGCAGUUGGUUUUCAUCUUAUUCCAAGGUUACCAACAAAAAACAACAUCAGGCGACAGCCAUGGUUAAGCUUUCCACACCUUGAUUCUUUGAACUACACAAUAUCUUCGACCCGCUUAAUUCGCUUGAGAUUUUCGAACCAAAACAGUAAGUUUGCCCUCAAAUUCUUGGUACAUCCGAACACGUCAAUAGCUGAAUUCUUUAUUUUUUUUUCCCUCUUUUCUUUGAAACAUAGCUGAAUUUCUAAUUUAUGUUUCUAUUAUUCACAUCCUACUUUCUUGAUUUGUUUUGGGUUGUUUGGUUCUUGAAAAAGGCAGCAACAUCAUCAAAUAUCAUCACCUUCGAGACAUGAUAUGCCAAUGUCGAACCCUGCAAUCAAGUAUUGAUUAGGAAAGUGGCAUCUGAUUGCGUACAUCGAGGUGGAUAGUAACAAUCCCUUAAAGGGGUCUGGCCAUACUACAUUUCUUGAAAAUAAACUUUUACUAAACCUCUUUCGAAAUUGAAAAUUGUUGAGACAAAUGUUGUAGUGACUGCUUACAUUGAUACUAUCAUAUGUUAUAUGGAUCAGACUUGCAAGCUGGUCAUUGACGAAGUUGAAGAACAUUGUCCCUACUCCCUGUUUUUGAGUUUGUUUGCAGAACGCAACCGGUCGAGAACGAUGGGUUAGCGGUGAUGAUUAGAGUUACAGAGAUGUUUAUUGAGCUGAGUUCGUGAGAAGUGUAGUAUUGUAUUAGGUUUUCCAUAAAUGUAUAUUAGAUUUGGUUGUGUUGAUUAUAUUGGACUUAUAGAGUGACUUUUAUGAUCACUUUGUAUUUUAGUUAGAUUUUUGGUUUGAGAAUUAGUUGAGUUAGUUACGCUAAAGAA